AAGUCGUAACAAGGUUUCCGUAGGUGAACCUGCGGAAGGAUCAUUAUUGAAUAUGAAAGGGGUUGUAGCUGGCCUUAACGGCACGUGCACGCCCCGUUCACAUCCAUUCAACCCCUGUGAACACUCUGUAGAUCGGUCUCAUGGGCCUUCUCCCUCUUUCGGGAGUCGGUCCUGGCCCCUCUAUGUUUCAUUUAAAACCCCAAUCAGUUCAGAAUGUAACGCGUCUAACGCACAUAAUACAACUUUCAGCAACGGAUCUCUUGGCUCUC
rnacentral:misc_RNA from 1 species